AUUGAACGCUGGCGGCAGGCUUAACACAUGCAAGUCGAGCGGGGUGAUGGUGCUUGCACUAUCACUUAGCGGCGGACGGGGGAGUAAUGCUUAGGAAUCUGCCUAUUAGUGGGGGACAACACCUCGAAAGGGAUGCUAAUACCGCAUACGUCCUACGGGAGAAAGCAGGGGAUCACUUGUGACCUUGCGCUAAUAGAUGAGCCUAAGUCGGAUUAGCUAGUUGGUGGGGUAAAGGCCUACCAAGGCGACGAUCUGUAGCGGGUCUGAGAGGAUGAUCCGCCACACUGGGACUGAGACACGGCCCAGACUCCUACGGGAGGCAGCAGUGGGGAAUAUUGGACAAUGGGGGGAACCCUGAUCCAGCCAUGCCGCGUGUGUGAAGAAGGCCUUAUGGUUGUAAAGCACUUUAAGCGAGGAGGAGGCUCUUUUGGUUAAUACCCAAGAUGAGUGGACGUUACUCGCAGAAUAAGCACCGGCUAACUCUGUGCCAGCCGCCGCUGUAA
rnacentral:rRNA from 1 species